ACAGGACACAAAACCCCACUUUCUGCACAAAUUAAAUAACACAUUUAUAAGGGCAAUAAAUUCUGCAUUCAACUCCUCGAAACCUCUACAUAUAGUGAUCCUCUAAUGGUUCACUCACUCAAUACAAACGAAAUUGGUACAAAACAAAAUGCUACUGUUUCUCCGGCUGAUGAUGCAGUUGUUGUGAUGCGUCAAAGCACUGCUCCAACUGCUCGAUAAUUAUUCUCGCUGUUACCGCCAGCAACUGCUUCUUUUGUUAGAUCUCAAAGACUGAGUUAGUGGUUGGAAAAGGUUUAAUUAACAAGAUGUGCAAAAGAAAGUGUCCAGGUCGAGAAUUGAAGCUGCCAAGCAGGCCCACAUCGGCGGAGUUAUCAUCGUCGACAUCAUCAGGUGAGUGGCCGGAAUUAUCAUCGUCAUCGUCUGCAUCUUCGGUAUCAUGUACAUCAAAGAUGCCGAAGGAGUCAGAAGAAGAGAACGAGCAACGUGAAAAUUCUACUCCAGAAACAAAGGCCAUGGAUCUCGUUGGUUGUCCUCGAUGCUUCAUGUACGUCAUGUUAUCCGAGGUGGAUCCAAAGUGCCCUAAGUGCAAGACCACAGUGUUUCUUGAACUUUUCAAAGAUGAAAACUUGAAGACUAACAGUUGAGUUAUGGGGAGAAUUAUGGGAAUUAAAUAAAUAAAAUCCUCGUGGUUUUAGGACGUUUGUUUGUUUGUGCUUAUUUUGUUUGUAAAAUCUGAAGCUUCAUAUCUUGUUGAGAGUGAAGUAAAGAUUAUGGGAGCUAGUAUAUGGUAGUGUAACGCGAUGCCACACUAUAUGGGUACGGAACGAGGAAUCGUGGUAGUAAUAAGAUGCGCCUAUUUUUUUUCUUUAUGUAUUUUUCUUAUUUCUCUAAUUUCCAAAUAUACACUAGCCUUAGGUUAGGUAUCCAUAUAAUGUUAAGCUUUUUUAAAUGCCAA